CAAGGUGAAACCUAAUUGGCCUGGAGAAGAGCUUGCGUCUGAUUAGCUAGUUGGUGGGGUAAGGGCCUACCAAGGCGACGAUCAGUAGCUGGUCUGAGAGGAUGAGCAGCCACACUGGGACUGAGACACGGCCCAGACUCCUACGGGAGGCAGCAGUGGGGAAUUUUCCGCAAUGGGCGAAAGCCUGACGGAGCAACGCCGCGUGAGGGAGGAAGGUCUUUGGAUUGUAAACCUCUUUUCUCAAGGAAGAAGUUCUGACGGUACUUGAGGAAUCAGCCUCGGCUAACUCCGUGCCAGCAGCCGCGGUAAUACGGGGGAGGCAAGCGUUAUCCGGAAUUAUUGGGCGUAAAGCGUCCGCAGGUGGUCAGCCAAGUCUGCC
rnacentral:rRNA from 2 species